rnacentral:rRNA from 1 species
CGGACGGGUGAGUAAUGUAUAGUUAAUCUGCCCUUUAGAGGGGGAUAACAGUUGGAAACGACUGCUAAUACCCCAUACUCCUUUUAUCUUAAUGAUAAUUGGGAAACGUUUUUUCGCUAAAGGAUGAGACUAUAUGGCAUCAGGUAGUUGGUAGGGUAAGAGCCUACCAAGCCAAUGACGCCUAGCUGGUCUGAGAGGAUGAUCAGCCACACUGGAACUGAGACACGGUCCAG